CUUAUAAUGUGAUAAUUUUCGGAAGCUUUUAUCCUAUUUUCAUAUCAAACAACCAUGUUACCCGUAGAACGGAGUUAAGUACAAAUUUAGGAAUUAAGUACUUAAAAUUUUCAACAACAAAAUUUUAUACUUUCAUUUACCUGGAUUUUGUUCUACGCUUCGAAGCCGCCACCCUGUAUCAAACAUAGCCAACACCUCGCAUGGCGUAUUCACGAUGUUGAGGGAUUGACAAUAUACAAUCAAAGUUAGCAAUAUACAGCAAGUUGCCAGCAAGAUGAAAAGAACAAUGCAGUUCAAAAGUCAAAAUGUGGAUAAGCUGCGGUACAAGGUCCUACUUUUGCAGAUUUUCAUAUUUUGCAUGAAUGAAUUUGAAGUUUAUAUCAUGGAGGGCAGAGAAAGAAAAGAAACACUUCAAUUUUCCUGCUUCUGAAAGAUCUUGUUCGAAGGAUUGAAAUUCAUCACUUAGAAUAAAAAGAGAAAACACAGAAACAAGACCAAAAUAAAUUCAAAGACAAAAGUCAGAUCAGUUAUUAUUUUCAUCACUCAGUCAAUGAAUUGAAGUUCUAUUAAAUAUCUAAGGAUAUUAAAACCACAAUAAUGACUAUGUUCUGUGCUGAAUGGCCAAAAAGUGGACUAUACAUUACGAUCACACAAUGCUGGAUGAUAAGAAACUAUUAAUUUUUUGGGUGGAGGGAUAUCCUGAAAAAAAAUAGAUUUAUGUAAAAAGCUACUAGUAUGUUAAGCCUAUUAAUAGAGUUUUCAUUGAUUUCAAAUGGGAAAAAUUGUGUUUCAAAAAAGUAUUCUAGAAUUCAUAAAUAAACAUAUAUUGAUACUUACAUUA